rnacentral:misc_RNA from 1 species
UCCUGGUUUCCCAGGCAGUCCCAUCAGAGUGCCUUCUUACGAAGUAGCAACUGAUGGCAGGGGUUGCGCUCGUUAUAGGACUUAACCCAACAUCUCACGACACGAGCUGACGACAGCCAUGCAGCACCUGUGAAUAUGUCUAGGGUUUCCCCUAAAAAGCUACAUCUCUGUAGCGAUCAUAAACAUGUCAAGCCUAGGUAAGGUUCCUCGCGUAGUGUCGAAUUAAACCACAUGUUCCACCGCUUGUGCGGACCCCCGUCAAUUCCUUUGAGUUUUAAUCUUGCGACCGUACUCCCCAGGCGGAUCACUUAUCGCGUUAGCUACGACACCAAUCUUGCAAGCAAGACCAACGUCUAGUGAUCAUCGUUUACAGCGUGGACUAC